GUGCCUGUAGCUCAGCUGGAUAGAGCGUUUCCCUCCGAAGGAAAAGGUCGUGCGUUCGAAUCGCAUCAGGCAUA
rnacentral:tRNA from 1 species